rnacentral:lncRNA from 1 species
CCCCCAACUUCACUUCUGAUAAAUAGGAGUGCUAUUGCAAAGGGUGACCUCUCAAUCCAAGAAGGGUAAAGAGAGAGGUAAUGAAAUUACAUCAAAAUUAAAUAAGAAUUUUCCCUAAAGGACAUUCUUCAGUUUGAUGAUUACUUUAGCCCGAAAGAGUUUUAAACAGGGGAAGUAAGCCUCCCAAUCAAUUCAAUGAAAAAAGAAUAUGGCAGCUCUUUAC